rnacentral:rRNA from 1 species
AACGAACGCUGGCGGCAUGCCUAACACAUGCAAGUCGAACGAUUGCCUUCGGGUGAUAGUGGCGCACGGGUGCGUAACGCGUGGGAAUCUGCCCUUAGGUUCGGAAUAACAGCUGGAAACGGCUGCUAAUACCGGAUGAUAUCGCGAGAUCAAAGAUUUAUCGCCUGAGGAUGAGCCCGCGUUGGAUUAGGUAGUUGGUGGGGUAAAGGCCUACCAAGCCGACGAUCCAUAGCUGGUCUGAGAGGAUGAUCAGCCACACUGGGACUGAGACACGGCCCAGACUCCUACGGGAGGCAGCAGUGGGGAAUAUUGGACAAUGGGCGCAAGCCUGAUCCAGCAAUGCCGCGGGAGUGAUGAAGGCCCUAGGGUUGUAAAGCUCUUUUAACCGGGAAGAUAAUGACUGUACCGGGAGAAUAAGCCCCGGCUAACUCCGUG